UAAAAAGAAAAAUAUUCUUUUUGGUGUAAAAUUUGGUGUAAAUGGGUUGGAGAUGAAAUAGUAAUUUGGUGUGAAAAAUGUACAUUUUUGGUGUUGGUGUUACACCAAAAUGGUGUUAAACAUUAGAGAUGCCAAGUACUUCUAUUAUAGUAUUCUCACUUAAUGCAUGUAUGAUAUAUGUGCAUUAAUUAAAUAUAACAAAAUGUACACAUAUCAUACCAUUAAAUCUCCAUAUUCACAUAUUAAGUGCUUCAAUAUUUAUUAUUUAUUUUUCUUUCGCACUUGACCACUCUUUCAUUAUUUUCUUUAUUAAUUAUUUAUUGUUCUUUCACACUUAUCCAUUCUUUCAUUAUUCUCACUAUUUAUUGUUGUUUAACACUUGACUACCCUCUAUAAUGUAAAAUUAGGCUCCCUCAAUACGACGAUACUUUUUAUGAGUUUGAAAGGAUUUUAACAACUCCUACAAUUGUAACAAUCAAUCAUAUAUAGUCAAAAUAUAAAACUAUUAACAAUUAAAUAUUAUUUUCGUCAAAGACUUGACUUAAUUUUCUCAAUAAUAAUGCAUAAAUAGUACUACAGUCCUCCCUGGGCAGUAUCUCAACAGGUUCAUCUAAAGAACUGAUGUGACUUUCUUCAUCUACUCGAUUACUCUAUACAUACCUCACUUCAAAUAAAAAAUUUUAGAUUUUAGUAAGAAAUAAUAUAUAUAUAUAUAUAUAUAUGCAUAAAUGUUCAAUAAUGACAUCUCUUAAAUAAUAAACUCUUUUACAAGAUUAAUAACUUCACUAAAACAUAAGAUAAUAAUGUAUUGAGUGAUGUUACUAGCAUUCCCUAUAGAAUUGUCAAAAAUUGCUUUCGUUAACAUACCCCAUAAAAUCCUCCGAGGUAUAUUAAAAAAAAUUAAAACUCGUCAAAUAGCAAGAAAAUUUAAUUUAUUUAUAUACAGCUAAUUUAAUUUCAUAACACCCUUAGCUACAUAAACGAUGAACAAUAUCCACAAUAAACGAUGAACAAUAUCCACACGUGGAAAAAAAAUAAAGGUUUCAUCUGAUUUAAAGUAAAGUAUAUAAUGUCAAACUGAAAAUGAGUGUUUGAAAUUUUGAAUUGUCUAGUCACCCAUACAGACCUAAUUGAUACUGUAUUGUAACUGUCUUAGUCCAAAUACGCUCAAAGAUUGAAUAAAUUAAAAAAUAACAUAGAACUAGAUAAAAUCAAAAUAGAUUGUGGAAUUAAUACAACCCACCAACCACAGUUUGUGGGCAUUGAAUAAACAAUAUUAAUGAUCUUUCACAUCAACAUCGAUUUACUAAUUCGAAAUCAUCAUCUACUGAGCCUGGGUUGAUUGUUCGUUCGAAAAUCUAAGCUUGCCAGCUCCCUUACAAGACCGCUGUUCCAUUUCAUUUAAUUAAUUAAGUGGUCGAGUUCAAACACUUACUAAGAGUCAACAACCAAACCAAUACUAAGAGCCAACAACUAAACCAAUGGCAAUGAUUGGAAAAAAAAAAAAACAAAAACAAAAAGUGAUUUUACAGAUGGACCCUUGAAAAAGCAUAACACGAUCCACGUAAUAUUUUAUGAAAAAUAAUAAAAGAAAUCCUAAAAGUGACACAAUGAUAAUAAAAAUAACAAUAAACACAGCAGAAGUAACAGUGCUAAUUAAAAAUUUUCAAUUAAACUAUAAUCUCGGUUAGGUGUAUCGUUAUUUUUUUUAUCAUUUUGUUAGAUUCUUCUUUUAAAUAUCAUGUAUUUUUAUUCUAACUUUUAUUUUUUAAUCAAUUCCUUCAUACUACGUAAGUUUUGUUUUUGUUUGAGAGUUAGAAUUAGUUAUUAGAUUAGAGUAAAUUUUGAUACAAAGUAUUUAGAGUAAGACAAUUGACAGCCAUUUAUUGCUGUUAUAAAUUUUUUUCUUCUGAAAGCACCUAUUAGGCUAUUACAAAAUUUUAAAAUAACACUAUCACUAAUAACAUCCAUGAUUUUAUUACAGCAAUAAAUUAAACAAAUUCCAAAUCCAACAAAUUAUCACAUUUCUGAAUUUUGAAUUUUGAAUUGGUUGCAACACAAUUGCAAGUAAUAAGUUUUGAAAAUGAUAAGUAAAAGGUUUAGACAAAAAAUCCGCGGCUUUCGUUUCUUUUAUUUAAAAAAGGAAAAAAAUCUCUUGCUUUAGUCAUUUUACAUG
rnacentral:lncRNA from 1 species